rnacentral:lncRNA from 1 species
GUGAAUUUGCUGAACGAGAACGGCGUCAUUCCUGGUAUCAAAGUUGACAAGGGUACCGUUGACCUUGCCGGAACCAACGGUGAAACCACCACCCAAGGGUUCGAUUCUCUUGGGGCACGCUGCUUCUCUCGGGGCACGCUGCCAGCAGUACUACAAGGCCGGUGCUAGGUUCGCCAAGUGGAGGGCUGUGCUUAAGAUUGGUCCCACCGAGCCGUCUGAGCUGUCCAUCCAGCAGAAUGCGCAGGGACUGGCCCGUUAUGCAAUUAUCUGUCAGGAGAAUGGCUUGGUCCCCAUUGUCGAGCCUGAGAUACUUACCGAUGGUUCCCACGAUAUUGCCAAGUGCGCCGCAGCCACGGAGAUGG